GCAGAGUUUAUCAGUCCUCUUUAUACUCUCUGUAGCUCAGAGUUUCUCAACCUGCAGAUAUGAUGCAUCUGGUUAUCUCAGUGUUGCUGGCUGCUAUGAGUCUUGAAUGCAGAGCCCAAAGAGACAACGUGCUGCAACCUGAAGCAGAAAAGACUGCUACUAAAGGAGAGGCAGUAACACUUGGCUGUCACUAUAACACCACUUCAUCAAAUUACUAUCUCUUCUGGUACAAACAGCACGGAGACAACAGCCCCACAUUCAUCCUGAGCCGCUUUAAGAUCGGCACGGGGAAAACAGAGGACGAGGACAGAUUCUCAUCCACACUGGAUUCAAGCUUAAGAUCUGUUCCUCUGAAGAUCCAGAAGCUUCAGCUGUCUGACUCUGCUGUGUACUACUGUGCUCUGCAGCCCACAGUGACAGGAAACACCAACACUCUGUACAAAAACCUUUGGAGCAAAGAAAUCACAAUACUGAUCAACAUCCACCAGAGGGAGUCUAUCUCUGUUCACCUUCAGCAGGAUGUGAUGAUACAGUCUAGAUUAGAUUCUCUAAGACUCACAGCUGUGAUGAAGAGCUCCAGAAACUCAUUGGACAUCCGAGUCUCCUCCUGCUGA